GGAUGUGAGGGUGAUCUGGCUAUGACAUCUGUCAUCCCACUGAUCACCAGGGUUUAUUCGGUUCAUCUAGGUGGGUGUCCCCACACUGCUCCAUGUGUGUCCCUCCCGAAGCUGCGCAGUUAGUCAUAGAGGAUGACCUUCCCCAAAGAGGAGGACCACUCUUUGCUUAAGGGUUUAUUAGUAGCUGUGCUCCCCUGCUGGAACCUCCAAAUAGGCUCUCAAAAUAAUAAUUCCACAUACUUAUUUAUAAUACAUAAGAUAGAUUAAUUAGUAGAAUUCCUCUUACUCAUAGAAGACAAAUAUUU
rnacentral:snRNA from 1 species